rnacentral:rRNA from 1 species
UCUCCUGGAAAACGGGUGGUAAUGCCGGAUGCUCCAGUUGACCGCAUGGUCCUCUGGGAAAGCUUUUGCGGUAUGGGAUGGGGUCGCGUCCUAUCAGCUUGAUGGCGGGGUAACGGCCCACCAUGGCUUCGACGGGUAGCCGGCCUGAGAGGGCGACCGGCCACAUUGGGACUGAGAUACGGCCCAGACUCCUACGGGAGGCAGCAGUGGGGAAUAUUGCACAAUGGGCGCAAGCCUGAUGCAGCGACGCCGCGUGCGGGAUGACGGCCUUCGGGUUGUAAACCGCUUUUGACUGGGAGCAAGCCCUUCGGGGUGAGUGUACCUUUCGAAUAAGCACCGGCUAACUACGUGCCAGCAGCCGCGGUAAUACGUAGGGUGCAAGCGUUAUCCGGAAUUAUUGGGCGUAAAGGGCUCGUAGGCGGUUCGUCGCGUCCGGUGUGAAAGUCCAUCGCUUAACGGUGGAUCCGCGCCGGGUACGGGCGGGCUUGAGUGCGGUAGGGGAGACUGGAAUUCCCGGUGUAACGGUGGAAUGUGUAGAUAUCGG